CAUCUACCCUACGGUCGGGGCGGGGGCACGGGGGGCCUACGGGAGGCAGCAGUAGGGAAUCUUCCGCAAUGGACGAAAGUCUGACGGAGCAACGCCGCGUGAGUGAUGAAGGCUUUCGGGUCGUAAAAACUGCUGUUGUUAGGGAAGAAACAAGUGCUAGUUGAAUAAGCUGGCACCUUGACCGUACCUACCAGAA
rnacentral:rRNA from 1 species